AACGCUCUGGCCUCAAAUCAGG
rnacentral:rRNA from 1 species